AUACUACUAACUACUUUGAAACCUGACUACCUGUCCCAGUCUGGUUUUGCUGUAGGGAGGGGAGCACACCUUUUACUUGGCAAAGAGUACAAUUAGUUACCUACAAAGUCCAAUAAUUACAAUUAGAUUGUACUUCAAGGGGCAUAAAUUGAACAAUCUAAAAUUGCUUUAAAAGCCAUCUGUCGGAAUUAUCUAUAUGAAUAUUUAAAGCCCCCAUUAGGGCGAUUUGAGGAGACGUUGCUGUAAAGGUAGUUAUUAAAUUCACUGGUGAAAAUUGAUGCUCGACAGAGAGGGUUUAGUUUCAUGCUCUCGAAAGAAAUCUGUCAUCUAUCUAUCGUUGUAUCUGUAUGUAUGUAAAAAGAAUGAAUGUUUGUUCGUUAAAAAAAAGAUUCUAAUACAAGACGCCAUGUCCAAGAAGCUUGCCUUUGCCGACUUUAAUCACAACAAAGGAUAAAAGCUCCAAUUUGCCCCAUCGUCAUGAUGCGUUUGCCCGGCUUAAGACUUCGUGGUGAUUUACUGUGAUUGUUUGGGAAAUAAUUUGCGCAUGCACUCACCAUACACAAUGUGAUAGUUGCUCUGUUUCACUCCUGUCUCCUGUCUUGCCAUGGUUCACUCGGCCUGGACUCGGAUGCCUGCCUGCCUGCCUGCCUGCCUGUGUGUGUUCAUGUCCCGCACCACCACCGCCGCCACCUCCACCUCUCUGUCACGCCCCAUCCGAAGGCUACGACAAAUCUCAGAGCUUAAACAACAUAGCUGCUAACGCCCUGAGGUUGUCCCCCGUCACCUCGCCCUACGGAUCGCCCUGCCCUCUACGGCGCUCCCGUUCCCCAAUUCCCUCCAUCCUGUGAGACGUCCAGCGUCGCCAGCCUUUUUUUUUUUUGCAUUACCCGCUCCAUACCCUACAAUCACAAAGUGAACUUUGUGCUAGAUAUCGUGGCUAGUAUUACACACCUGUAGCGAAGACUGAUCCACUGAUGACUGCCUGAGUGUGCUUGGCUAUCAUCCUUGUCAGCUCUCCUGUGCCACUUGAAGUUUCCUUUUUCUUUAUUUGAUAUUGUCAUAUUGCAAUAAAAAAAAAAACUGACUGGUGGCUUUCAAAGUAGCAGCCAUAAGAUUUAAUAAUAAAAGACAUGUUGGUAAUCAGGGUUAUUAGAUGUUGUUUUAUUUCGAUACCUAGAGAGAAAAGAUGCGCUUCCAUAAAAACCAGAAAGACAGACAGCUGUUUAUUCAUUUUAUCCUCAUUUAAUUGUGUUUUCCUUGAGAUUUGUCAUUCAAACAAGCGCGCACAUCUGUCCCUGUUCACCUGCUCAUGUUUUUGCAUGGACUCCACUCUGUAAGCCAUUGUUGUCUGCCAGCCACGUUGCCAGGGGAGACCACACCAGGCACACUGUGAAAAUACAUAUAUAUGCGGCCAUGUGAAAAAAGGAAGUACUUGUACACCCGCUUUUAGUUCGGUUUUAUGUGUCAGGACCUGUAUAGCAAACUUCAGUGCACUAUUUGGCUUCAAUCUGCAGAGGCGCUGUUGAGUCAGCCUUAACAAAUGCGGUCCAAAGAAAAAUGACAUGAUAUCAACUAUGGGAAGUUGAGCUACAUCCAUGAUUAUGAAUGUUGUGCUCAAUAAACAGGCAUCCAAACACGAGUUCAGAACAUUACGAUUCUCAAGUAACAUGAAGAUAUUCAUGAAAUAGCAUUUUAUCGAGUGAAUAUCACUUGUAAUAUUACAACUUUAUUCCUUAAACUUUUUUCUUGCACACCUUUCAAAAAUUGGAUGAUUACAUUUGCUCGUCAUAUCACAACUUUAUUUUUCGGACAAUGUGACUUUUUUCUUUUUUUGUUAGAAAUUCUCUUAUGUUAGCACAAAUGUAUCAAUUUUCCUUGUCCUAAAAUUUCAUUUUGGAAAUAUGAUGACUUUUGUUUUUUUUUUUUUUUUUUUUUGCAGAAUAUGACAAAUUCUCAUAAUAUUAUGACUUUCUAUGACUUUUCAUAUUAUCACAACUUGAUAUCAAAACUUUUGUCUUGUAAUAUCAGUCGUACUUUUUGACUUCAUCUUUGUAAGGUUCCAAUUUUUUCCCCAGCUAUCAUCGGGCAGAAGGAGGGGUACGCCCUGAACUGGUUGCCAGCCAAUCGCAGUUUUUCCCCCUCAUAAUUAAAAAAAAAAAGUAAUUCCCUUGUGGACCGAAUACUGGAAAAAAAAUAAUACUAAUAAUAACGUCGCUUCACAUUAGUCAUAGUGAAAGCUAUCCAUCUGUGUUAUUACAGAAAAGUAAUUGCUCAUCUGACAUUGUAUUUAUUGAAUUUUCAGAGCUGAUGUCUAAAACCGUGACAGAGGGUCCUCUUUCAUUUCCACAUGACUGCACAUAUGUGCACGUAUAAGUUGUAUGUAUGUUUCUGGUUGUUGACUCUUAGAUAACUGCAAAGAGAUGGUGUUUACUGGUUUCACACAAGCAGAGAGUGGCGUUCUCGCUUAAAGGCUUUGGGAACGCGGCGCCCUGGCAGAAAGGUAACCCCUCUGCAUGGGUCUGUGGGUUCAAUGCAGGAAUCCCCUCAGCUGUUCGGUCCCAGUGUUUUUGGUUUUGGUUGGAUGCACUCAAAGAUGGAGGUCAUUCAAUAAUCUACGAGACGACAGAACAGAUUGGGUUUGCGGGGCUUUAGUUGGUUUUAUGAAAUAUGUGGGGGAAGUAUAUUGAAAUAACAUUGUUGUGAAUUGACAAUAUAUCAUGGAAACAUUAAAAACGUUGCUACAAAUACGGAUUAACGGGGUGGCUGAAGAUCCUGUAGUCACAUGCAAUUUGAUUUGUAUUUUUAUAUACAAUAUAUGGAACUAGAGUGGGCCAUCUCCAUUUUGUCAUUUUUAAAAAUGUUGACAAGAUUUAUCUCCAGUUUUGACAUAAUGGGGGCAGUGCAUUAUUGCACUGAGCGCUUUUCUUGAUUCAUCAAUACAACACUGGGCCAACUCCAAGGCUGCAACUCUAGGAAAAACAUCCCAAAAUGUGAGGCUCAGAAAUUAUUUCGUUAAAUUUUUUUUUUCAGGAGGUAAUGACAUUUUUUUUCUUGUAACAUUGCGACUUUUUCACAAUUUCUUUCUCCCAACAUGGUGAUUUUCUCUCUCUCGUAGAUCACAAAUUCAUCCUUGUAACACGACGACAUGUCUAGUCUGUCUUUGUGGUAUUUUCUCAGAAAAGCUGCAUUUUUUUCUUAUGAUAAAACACCCUAUUUCUAAGUCUAGGGUUUAAUUGAAUAAAAUCAGGAUUUUGUGUUUUUCUCCUAACUUUACAACUUCUCAUAUUCUGACUUUUUCCUUUGUGGCCUUAAUACUUUUUUGUAGGUAUAACCCUCAAUUUAAACAAAGAGGGAUUAUUAUUAUCAUUAUUAUUAUUAUUAUUUUAAUACAGUCUGCAUAAAUUGCCUGUGUGAUCCAACAGGUGUGCAGACUGCACACGUGGACCUCACCCUUUCCUCCAUUAUGUCCAUCCCAGUAGCAAAGGGUUGCUUAGCAACUGGCUUGCAGAUGAUGCAUUUUGCGCAUAGAAUUGCCCCCCAAAAAAAAAAGAAAAUCAAAGAAAAAUAAAAAAAGAGUGCUCUUAAAAACAUUUCUCCUUGUCUGUUGACUAAAUUAUUGAUUACUUCCAUCUAAAACACAACAAUAGUAGCACACCAUGUUGUUUCAUCCUUGUGCAUGUAUUUGGAAUAAAUAGAACGUGCAUGGCAAGAGGUUCGAGGGAGACAGGAUGAGAAGGAUUUGAUAUAGUUAAUUUGAUUCAGUAGCACACCCGGGAUGAGACUAUAUAACAAUAUUAGGACCUGUUGCAGUGGGAAGACCCCAUUUGGAGGCCUCCCAGCCACUCCUACAGGACAAUAAAGGAGGGAGCCGACGCAAAAACCGCUAGGAGACGGCUGCUCGGCCCGUGGCUGAAGGAACUUCACCGAUAACCCAGAAGGACCGCGAGAAGCAUUUAAUCCUGAGCAAAACAGCCAAAGCAAACAGGACACGUGCUGGAAUAGACUUCUGUAAAUAAGUCACCGACAGCAGCACGGUCGUCGCCGUUGGUUGCUAAGUUGCACCGUGAGACACUCAAAUCUCGCUAUGGUACCCCCCCCCCCCCCCCCCCCCCCUCCUUGCAAUAAGUGUAUUAAGUCGAGGCACUUUGUGUUCUGAAAUGGAGUGUAUUCAUAUUAUGAACAUCCAGUAUAUACAGCACAGAGAGACAAGUGUGCUAAGUUGAAUCAAUGUGACAUCUCUGCUUCUGUUACUCUUGGUAAAUUUCAGUAUAGGUUAAAAUGCUCUGCCGUGUGUUACUGUAUGUGCGUAUCCUAUCAAGAAACCUUUUCAAAGGUCGAGUAGGUGGACGUUUUAUGUCGUCACUUUCUGGUAGGGCCCGACCGAUUAAUCGGCUGCUCUAAGCCCUUUUGAAAUGAGCAUAAAUCGGCCGAUUAUUUUGUUGAUUUUUCCCUCUUUUUUUGAAAAAUGACAUUCAAACAAACAGAACAAAAAUUGACAAAAAUAAGCAGCCGAUGAUUUUUGCCGAUUUUUCUCUCUGUUUUAAAAUAAAACAAGUACUUCAGGACAAAGUAUUGAAAAACUGUCAAACAUUUUGCCUGUAAUUCAUAUAUGUUAUUGUUGUAAGCAUUCAGGGAGCAAAAAGAUUUAAAUUUGUUUUAAUUGGCCGAUUAAUCGGUUAUCAGAAAAAAAAAUCGAUAUCGGUCGGGCCUUACUUUCUAGUUUAGCACAGAAACGGGUGAGAAAGGGAACUCCCCCCAGCCACCCCCCCCCAUAAUGCAAUCGCCCAUGUAGAAGUCUCCCACUGUGCGUUGAACAUGCAACGAGCCUGCGUUAGUGCUGCAAAUCUUCACCUGAAACCAAAUGAUUACGACCAGAUGAAUCCUCAUGACUCAGUGGUGGUAAAAUCAACGGAAUCUUCCAAAUAUAUCUAAUCCUGUACCCCGCUCCUUUAAUUUCUGGGUCUGGAGAAAAUGUGUAGCAGACGUUUACCAAGUUUAAAAAAAACAAAAAACAAAAAAAAAAAAAAGUGAGACUUUUCUCGAAUGGCUACUUUUGCACAGUAGCAAUUCCAUGUACAAAAAAUAAUCAGAUCUGCUUCGUGGGAAAGGUGUAUUAGGGUCACACUUAAAAGGAGAAAGAAAAUGAUAACGUUACAAGAAUAAUGUUUCACAAUUAUGAUGAGAAUAUUUCACCAAAAAUUCUGAAUCUAACGCAAAUAGUAAUAUAACAACACAAACGUCGAGAACACAAGAAAAGUUAUUUUACUUUAUUUCAGUAAGAUUAUUCCCUUUUUCCCCUCUAAAAAUAUGCCGUUAUUCUUGUAUGAUUGUGAUUGUAAGAAUAACAGAAAUUUUUUUUCUUGUAAGAUCGCACCUUAGUCUUGGGGAAAAGAAAAAAGUAAUAAUGCACGUUUGUUCUGAAAAUAUGACGAAGAGUAUGACUUUUAUCUCAUCAAAUAUUAUGGAUUUAUUCUUGUAAGAUCCCCAGUAUUUUUUUUUUUUUUUUAAAGAUAAGGACUGUUUUUAACCCUCUUAAAAUUAUGACUGUAUCCUCUCGUGUUUAUGAUUUUUCUCAAAAAAAAGAGAGAAAACCUUGUAGUUAUAAGAUUACACCUUAUUCCUCAAUAAAAUGUAAGAGUGAAAUCUUUUUUUAAAUGACUUCAUUUUUUUAUCAAGAAAAAAAGAUAUUAAUUGUAAGAUUCCCUCUGGUUUUUUUUUCAAGAAUUAAGAAACUUUAGGAUUUUUUAAGAUUAUAAUUUUUUCUUGAAAAAAAUGCAAGAUGCACAUUGUUUUCUGAUAUUUAUUCAAUUCAACGUUAUCCAAGACUAUGAUUUUUUUUUUUUUAAGUAUUAAGUAGUAUUCUGACUUUUUCCACAUCAAUUUAAAACUUUAUUCUCAGCUUUAUUUUAGUUUCUUUUCUUUUUUCUUUUUUCAGUGUGGCCCUAACUCUCCUUGGUAGAUUUGCAAUAAUCGGAGAAACAGAAAGCGCCAAUCCACACUGUGAUUUUUAGUCAAAAACAUGAGGGUUGAUGGGAAAAAACUGAGAAGAUUGACGGCGAGGACUGUCAUGUGGCAUUGUUGAUGUGUCGCCCUCUACCCACAAUCCUCCUUGUGUAGUACACACGCUGCUUUACUCUUGAAUUUGACCAAGGAGUACCGUUCUUUGUGUAUUUUUAAGAUGAUGUCGUAACUUGGAGAAAAAAAAAAAAAAGCUGUUUAUUUUUCUGAAUCCCGAACUUGUAUUUUUGUGUCUUACUGUUCAUGGUAGUCCGAUGCUGUACUUCUCCAUCGUGUCUUCAAACGUGUCGAGCUUUUUGAUCCGAGUUCACGUUUUGUAUGUUUUAUCGUGAGCAAAAAAAAAAAAAAAAUCUAGUUUGAAGUCUGUAUUUGUGGAGCCUUUGUUGGAAUUCUGAAGUGCAUGCUUAAAAAAGAAGAAGAAGAAAAAAGAGAACCGUUAUGUCAAAGAAUUAAAAAAAAAGAUGACACUGUAUAUCAUGUUGGGAACAAUGUGUAUAAAGUUGAAUACUAUGUGAAAGAUUCACAUAAACUAUUUAUCUUUUAACAAACGGUUCCUUGUUUUAUUUCAUAUAUAAAAAUGUGACACUUGGGGUUUCGUGAACUGAAAAGUGACGUCAUAUGAAGCCUGAGACGAUUCCAUGUGAAAGCGUUUUAAAAAUUUUAUAAAUUCUCUGUGAAUUUACAGGUAAGCGUCCCAAGCAUGCAAACACAAACAAAUGCAUGUGAAUCGCAAAAGUAUUUGUCAAAGUGUGGUACUAGUACCACGAGUGAUACACAGGCUAUAUAAAAUUCCUCUAAAAUUGCAGUUGCAGUCCUGUUACCUAUAUAAAUUUGUUUAAUUCAGUACAUUUACAACCUAAAUUCUAAUACUUGUUCCAUGAAAUUGUAGUCAUUUACUUCCAACAGUCUAUUCUUUUUAUUUCAUACUGGUUCUCUUUUUUGGUCCAAUCAGAUUUCAGUCUCCAUGUGUUGCCAUGUCAAAUGUCGAAUCUGCCCAGUACUGCUGGGUGAUGUACCUUAAACUGUAUUAACAAUGGGUCUGUUUCUUUAAUCAAUCAGAUUUUAGGUUCUUGCUCACGGGGUCAGCUCGCUGGUCCACGAUGAUGUCAGCAUUUUUCCGUCCUCUGAUUGGUUGGUCAGAGAAAUUCGAGUUUGACCAGCAAAAACCUGUCUGUAGUGAUCUGUACGCGUGCAUAUAUUUAAUAAUCAGCAUCUCUGGUGAGUAUGAUGCAUUUUUACUUUAAUAAAAAUGUUUUUGUCAUGUUGUUAGCUCAAUAUUGUUUCUGAACUGCUCAAAAUAAUGAACGUGGCACAAUUGCUUGCCGUUAUUGAUUGAUUUUAUUUUUUAUUUUUGUAUAGAACUGCUGCUAACUUACGAACAAACUGCGCAAAGCAGGCGGAGGAGCUGAUUAAAGUGAAUGUAAUGUGGUCGAGAGAUCAUAGACUGGCUGCACCCAGCGGCGUCUUCAGGAGCCAGUCGAGCCAACGUGAGGCUGUAGCAUCAGGCGUCGCCAGCGACACUCCCGUUGGUGGACUAAAUUGAGCCCG